rnacentral:rRNA from 1 species
CCUACGGGCGGCUGCAGUGAGGAAUAUUGGUCAAUGGGCGCAAGCCUGAACCAGCCAAGUCGCGUGAAGGAUGACAGAUCUAUGGUUUGUAAACUUCUUUUGCAGGGGAGUAAAGUGCGACACGUGUGUUGUAUUGCAAGUACCCUGCGAAUAAGCAUCGGCUAACUCCGUGCCAGCAGCCGCGGUAAUACGGAGGAUGCAAGCGUUAUCCGGAUUUAUUGGGUUUAAAGGGUGCGUAGGCGGGUUAUCAAGUCAGCGGUGAAAUUUUUCGGCUUAACCGUAAAAUUGCCGUUGAAACUGGUGAUCUUGAGUGCGAGCGAGGUAGGCGGAAUGUGCCGUGUAGCGGUGAAAUGCAUAGAUAUGGCACAGAACUCCGAUUGCGAAGGCAGCUUACUAGUACGCUACUGACGCUGAUGCACGAAGGCGUGGGGAUCAAACAGGAUUAGAUACCCUGGUAGUC